AUUAUCAACUUUCGAUGGUAGGAUAGAGGCCUACCAUGGUGGUAACGGGUAACGGGGUGUUAGGGCACGACACUGAGAGGGAGCCUGGGAAACGGCUACCACAUCCAAGGAUGGCAGCAGGCGCGCAAAUUACCCAAUCCCGACACGGGGAGGUAGUGACAAUAAAUAACAAUACGGGGUUCUUUAGGAUCUCGUAAUUGGAAUGAGUACAAUUUAAAUCUCUUAACGAGGAACAAUUGGAGGGCAAGUCUGGUGCCAGCAGCCGCGGUAAUUCCAGCUCCAAUAGCGUAUAUUAAAGUUGUUGCAGUUAAAAAGCUCGUAGUUGAAUUUCGAGACCGGCUUACUGGUCGUGCUAUUGUGCGUACUGGUAUAAUCGGUUUCUCCUUUCUGACGAACUAUAAUGCCAUUAAUUUGGUGUUUUAGGGAAUCAGGACUGUUACUUUGAAAAAAUUAGAGUGUUUAAAGCAGGCUCACGCUUGAAUACAUUAGCAUGGAAUAACGGAAUAGGACGUUUGAUUCUAUUUUGUUGGUUUCUAGGAUCGACGUAAUGAUUAAUAGGGACAGUUGGGGGCAUUAGUAUUCAAUUGUCAGAGGUGAAAUUCUUGGAUUUAUUGAAGACUAACUACUGCGAAAGCAUUUGCCAAGGAUGUUUUCAUUAAUCAAGAACGAAAGUUAGGGGAUCGAAGACGAUCAGAUACCGUCGUAGUCUUAACCAUAAACUAUGCCGACUAGGGAUCGGAUGAUGUUAAUUUUUUAAUGACUCAUUCGGCGCCUUACGGGAAACCAAAGUGUUUGGGUUC
rnacentral:rRNA from 1 species